rnacentral:tRNA from 16 species
UCUAACCUCUGAGCUAAGUGGGC